GAUGAACGCUGGCGGCGUGCUUUACGCAUGCAAGUCGAGCGAUCACACGCGGCGCUUUCCUCUCUAACGUCAGCGGCGGAAGUGAGAGAAACAAGUGGAUCACCUACCUAUAAGACUGGGCUAACAAGGGGAACCAGUACCUAAUACGGUCUAUUUAUUAAAACGGGAUGCCGUAAUACUUAACGCGGUUUUUGCUGCCAAUUUCAGAUGGAUUCGUGCGACAUUAGCUAGUUGGUCAGGUAACGGCUUACCAAGUCAACGAUGCGUAGCCGACCUGAGAGGAUGAUCAGCCACACUGGAACUGAGACACGGUCCAGACUCCUACGGGAGGCAGCAGUAGGGAAUCUUCCGCAAUGGGCGAAAGCCUGACGGAGCAACGCCGCGUGAAGGAUGAAGGUCUUCGGAUCGUAAAACGCUUUUGUUAGGAAAGAACAAGUUUGUAAGUAACUAUGCACGUCAUGACGGUACCUAAACAGAAAGCCACGGCUAACUACGUG
rnacentral:rRNA from 1 species